UACACCUAACCUGUCUGCUGCACACUCCUGUUUCCUCGGAUCAGGACACCAAUACAGUGACCCCUGCCUUCCUCUUGUAAUUACAACUGCAGGCCUAGUCCUCCUCACCCCAACCUUCUUCCCCAACUUUGUGUCCACUAUUUUGUAGAUCAUUCCUUUUAUCACCUUACUUGAAGAGUUUGUCCUGGCCAGGCCUCAGGCACUGUGGAGCUGCAGAGAUUAGUUGAUGACUUGAGAGAUGAGGAGCCUGUUGCUGGGAGGUGAAAUAUGUAUUAGGAGAAUGGUCUAUGUGUAUCCUGGUUCUGGCAUGGGAAGAUGAGGCUGUACACUGGGAGGCUGAGCAACUCCUUUGCUUGAUAGAGUAAUAAAACCUUUCCGAGACAGGUAAGGAAACAAGACAGAUUUUUCUGGCAAAGAUGUUCCAUUGCCUUCAGCAUUGGCCUGUAACCUCCACCCCUGUGAUGGGAAUUCUUUCUUCAAGUAUUCAGAGAAUAGGCUUCAUUCUCUAAGGGUCAUUGUCUUAAGGUAAGAGAGGAUGAGAAGGGAAGGAGCAUGUGGAACUUGUAAAAACAAAGGAUGAGUGGAGCAGGAAGACAAAGUUCCAGUAUUCCUUGGAGAAGACAUCAAACGGCAGUGGUAGUGAAAAAAGGGAAGCUUGUCUGCAACAGCAGGCGGGAAGAGUGUGAGGCUAGAUAAUAGUCUGCUCUCUGCUCCCCACUCCCAAAGCCCUUAGCUACUUUAGGGGCACGGUGGUGGAGGAGGACUCCGGCAGCUGGGCUUUUGUGGUACUUCCCAAACGUAAGGUGAGUCACAAAACAUAAAUGAUGAAUUUUCAAGACAGUUUUCCUGGAAACAGCUCCCUUCCAUUCUAAAACACAAGCGUUUACUUUUAUUAAGCUUUGUGCAUGGUUGUUGUCACUUUCCAGUUUGGUCUGUUGUUGUGAUGUUGCAACCGCACUGCAAACUGCAGGACUCUGGUAAGAUCAUGUUCUUUCCUGGUCACUGACUGUCAGAGCAGCAGCGCUCUAUCACAGGGGUUUGCUCAGUGCCUUGCCUUCAUUUAGAAAUGUUCACAAUUUGUUCUAGUAUGUUUAAAAUUUCUCUCCCCUCAUUUUCUAAAAAUUAGUAGUGAAUAGAAUUGAGACCCUAUAUUUGGUUUGCAUCAGAACAAAUUAUUCUAUAUAUGACCUUAUUUUGAAUUUUUUGAAAUGGCUAUUACUAGGUUUGGACAGCAUGACCGGGCAGCACUAGUAUAUUUUACAAAUACACUGUUACAAUUUUAGUUUUUGUUCUUAUAACAGUUAGCUCUAAACAAUACCAGGAAAUCUCAGAACAUCUUUUGAACAAAAGCCUUAGGAAUAUGUUUCUUUUGAAAUUGCUUUUUUUUUUAUUUAUUUUUUCUGUUAAGGUUAGAAUUGAGACAGAUUGCUUUGGAUUGUUGAACUAUUUUAAUCCAAAAAGAACUUCUAAUAAAUUCUUUAUUUGCCAAAAGUUUGAAUGUUUUAAUCUCAUUUCCAGCUGGAACAGGUUUUCAAGCAUUUCUGAAUGCCUAGUGAAUGAGAUGAGGUUUUUGCUCAGUCCUGUUCAGUACUUGCAGGAAAUGGCUUUGUAGCAAUUUAUGAAAGAAAGAUAACUGUGACAGGGGCAAAAUGGAAAUUGUAUUUUUAUUCUGAUGAAGUGUAGAUUUCAGCCCUCUCCGUGGAUAAAAUGUAGCAGAGGUCACCUGGUAUUUGUCUUGACUGUCACGAAGUUCUAAGGAGAGGCCAACAGCCAGGAACAGCAAGUCUUGUUGGAAUGAAAGUAGAAGCAAAAUUGGUGUUUUCUAAUGCCAGGUGUGAUGACCUUAGUACGAGCUGCUUCAGUGUAGGACUCAUCCUUUAAUUACUCUUUCUUUUCCCACUUUUUAAUUCUACAAUACAUGAUUAUUCUUUACAAUGCAAAAGUUACUAUUUAGAUAGCUCUAGUUAAAUGUGCCUCAU